rnacentral:rRNA from 1 species
AUUGAACGCUGGCGGCAUGCCUAACACAUGCAAGUCGAACGAGUGGCGGACGGGUGAGUAAUGUCUGGGACACUGCCUGUUGGAGGGGGAUAACUACUGGAAACGGUAGCUAAUACCGCAUACCAUCGGAUUUGCCCAGAUGGGAUUAGCUAGUAGGUGGGGUAAAGGCUCACCAAGGCGACGAUCUCUAGCUGGUCUGAGAGGAUGACCAGCCACACUGGAACUGAGAACCGGCCCAGACUCCUACGGGAGGCAGCAGGGGGGAAUGUUGGACAAGGGGCGAAAGCCUGAUGCAGCCAUGCCGCGUGUAUGAAGAAGGCCUUCGGGUUGUAAAGUACUUUAAGCGGGGAGGCGUUACCCGCAGAAGAAGCACCGGCUAACUCCGUGCCAGCAGCCGCGGUAAUUC